GCUGACGUCAUCUCCCGAUCGCUCGGCCUUAGAGGCAGGUGCGGCUCGGGUGGUGUCCGCCCUCCCCCCCCCCCUACGCCGGUCGGUCCUCCCUCCCGUCCGUCCGUCCGUCCGCGGGGACCGAGCGGACCCGGCCCGGCCGCGGCCCGGAGGAGGAAGGAGUCACAGUCCCCCAUGAAUUACGAAAACCCGCCACCCUACACGGGCCCCGGCCCAACCGCCCCGUAUCCACCGUACACCCAGCAGCCGGCCGGUCCCUGUGGUCCCCAGCCCUACCCCGGCUACCCUCCCGGCCCGUACCCUCCUGGCAACCCGGGCUACCAAGGCUACCCACAAUAUGGCUGGCAGGGCGGACCGCCUCCCGGACCGAUGUACUCCGACGCUCCAAAAAAUACAGUGUACGUGGUAGAAGAACAGAGGAGGGACAACCUGGACCAGAGCACCUGCCUCACAGCGUGCUGGACGGCGCUCUGCUGCUGCUGCCUCUGGGACAUGCUCACCUGACGGCGUCCAGGGCCCCCCGCUGCCCCCGCCCCCACCGGGCCCGCCCCACUCUCUUUCUCGACUGUAAUAACAGGCCAGCUCUGCGCGGGCCUAGCCUCGAUGUACCAGAAUCCUAGAUUUGUGGUGGUUCCCACAGUUUCACUUAGCGUCACGGGCCUUCCUUUCGGGUUCCCUCUCAGCCACCUCCCGUUGGACUCCCACCACGGGCUCGAUGACUCUCUUCCUUCUUUGCGUCUGUUUGGGGCUGAGAACUGGGGUGUGACACACGUAUUUAUCACAAUGGCAAAAUAUGCAAUAAUUCAAGCCAAUGAAUGAUUUUCUUUGCUCGCUCCCCACCCUUUCAAUAAAUUGGUCCAAAACCCCA